rnacentral:rRNA from 1 species
CAGCAGCCGCGGUAAUUCGUAGGGUGCUAGAGUUGUCCGGAUUUACUGGGUGUAAAGGGUGCUCAGGUGGGUUUGUAAGUCAGAGGUGAAAUUCCAAAGCUUAACUUUGGAGCUGCCUUUGAUACUGCAAGCCUGGAGUUUGAGAGAGGGUAAUGGAAUAUCUGGUGUAGCAGUGAAAUGCGUAGAUAUCAGAUAGAACACCAAUGGCGAAGGCAGUUACCUGGCUCAAAACUGACGCUAAAGCACGAAAGUGUGGGGAGCAAACAGGAUUAGAUACCCUGGUAGUCCACACCCUAAACGAUGAAUACUAGAUGUUGGUCCUUUUUAGGAUCAGUAUCCAAGCUAACGCAUUAAGUAUUCCACCUGGGAAGUACAAUCGCAAGGUUGAAACUUAAAGGAAUUGACGG